CCCGGGCUCCCGGGCGCCUGGCCGCGAGAGCCCCCGCGCUGCCUUUGCCCCUUCCUGAGCCGCAGUCCCCUCUCCCUCCGCCGCCGACCCUACCAUACCCGUUCGCGGUCCCUAUUAGCUUGUAACUAACUUAACACUUAAGCCUUUGCCCUCCGGCUCAGCUCCUUAAAGCUUCCUGAUUCCCAAACUUUUAUGGUAAUUACGGACCACCGCUCAGUCCCUAACGCCUGUGCCCUCCAGGAUGCCAGGGACCCCGGCCGCGCGUCCCCUCCAGACACCCGCUGCCCGAGACCCCGUCGAUAGGCUUGCAGAAAGCAAACCAGGAAGUCAGGGCUGCUGCCGCUGCCCCCGCCGCAGUAGCUCCACGUGGCUGAUUUAUAGCUGGAACGAUUUUUUAUUAUUAUUAUUGAUCUGGGGUUUUUUUUCACAGUGUUCCCUAAGGAGGUGGAUUUGUAACGGAAAGGCCCAGGAGAUUGCUUUUCUUCCUGUGAGAUCUCAGGAAAGGAUAAUGCUUGACCAGGUCUCCCCCCACCUGCGCCCAAAUGUUGUGCCUGUUACCUCCUAACAAAGGGUUAACUCUGCUGAAAAGGAAUUGUGCCCAUGUUUGGGCUGCAUUUUCCUGGUGCUCUCACCAUGAUUGCCUUUGGUAUGUGGCAGCCAACUGAAACAUCUGAGCUUCCAAAUGUAACUUGCCUUUGGCCCCACUGUCCGGAAAAGGCCCGAUAUGGAGUGGAUGGAAUGCCAAGUGAAUAAUUGGAUCAAGACUACAAAGAGAAGAUGAAACGUCAAAAGAGAAAAGUACCUUGUCUUCAUCUAUAAGAAGAUGUUGAGAUAAAUGAUCUUUAACAUCCCUCCCAGUGCUGAAAUCCCUGAGGUUGACCUAUGAUGUUAAUAUAUGAUUAAAACUUUAAACUUGUAUUCUCAUGUAAAAUACUAUGAAGUCACACUCUUUGUACUUUUUUUUCCUGUCAUAGAUUACUAUUUCCAUCAUAAGCUUAAUGGAUAAUUCUGUACUCAUCUGGGAUAAAAGACUGUUGUCAAGGGCUUCCAUUUGAUGAGGCUAAUGGUCUCCUACAGUGUUUUGAAGGCAAAAAUGCUUAUUUAAAAGCUCUCUUAGAUUUUACACUGUAGAACAUGAGCUCUUCAUAAUUUAACACUAUUUUUGGACCCCCAUAAUUCAGAGUGCUCUUGUGAUUUAACCGUUUACUUAAGGGGUGAUUGAAACAGAUUUUAUCUCUUACCGCUCUUACUUGAAACCUCUUCAAUAGCUUUCCCUUGCUGUUAGAAUCAAGUCCAAACUCCUCAGUUUGUAUUACAAAGACUUGUGAGCUUGCCUCUUCUCAUCUCCAAGCCUCUUGGCUGGUCUAUUUUCUCUUUUCAAACUUUAGCUAUAGCCUGUUGUUUCUCUUCUUUCCUGUACCAGGUCAAGUUCUUUCUCACAGACCUUCUCGGGACACUUGAUAGUUUCUACACCAACACUUUGCCUCCAAACUCCUGACAAUCCCUCAAAUUGUAAUUUAUACACCAAUUAUUUCAGAAACCUUUGAUUCUCUUCAAUUCCCAACCACUUGCCAGGUUGGGGGUCCCUGAUUCAUGUCAGAGCAUCCUGUAAGUUUUCUCUUAGAGCAUAGAGACUUCUAUUUUGUAAAUCUUUGUUCAGUCGUCACCUCCAUUAGACCAGUUUCUUGAAGGCAAGGACCAUGUUCUCAUUUGGCAUUGUAACCCCAGGAUGUUGACGGUGCCUGCUCAGUACUUAAAAGAGUGACUAGGUGAAAGUAUAUUUUAUGUGCUAACUGGUUUAAACAGAAUCUUAGAAACGUUCUUUAAUAAUUAUGGUUUAAGCUGGGUAUGGUGACCCAUGCUUGCAAUCCUAGCUACUCACAGGCUAAGGCAGAAAGUUUGCACUUUAUACUCUUAAAAAGCCUGAAGGGCCAGGAUUUAGCUCAGUGGUUCCACUGCCUGCCUCACAAACACAAAGUCUUGAGUUGGACCCCAGUACCAAAACAAAACAAAACAAAAAGACGAGAUUCUCAGUGGUAGAGUACUUAACCUGCAUGCACAAUGCCCUAGGUUGAAUCUCUGUGACACGUAAAAAGGGUAUCUCUUAAAAGGCAACUUUUUUUUUUACCCUUACGUAAGGGACUGGAAAGGAGUGCACUGUUCAAUAGCUUACCUGACCAAUAUGAGGACUGUAAUUCCUAGAUAAUACACAGCUGUUCCAAACCGUCUGCUCACUGAAGGGAUUGUACAUUGCCCAGAGCUGCAUGGCCUUUAAUGUGCGAACCUGUUACCUACAUGACAGAUUAGCCUGUUUCUUGUUAUAUUGAUAAUCUCUUCAUAGCAUUGAGGAAAGGAGUGGAAUGGAAAGAGUUUCCUCAAUAAAAGGGCCAGCAAACCUACCCCGUCAUACAUAAAAUGGGAGGGAGAUCUGGCUAGACGCAAAUUUACCUUCACAAAUUCAUGAAACUCAAGUUCUAAGCAGAAUGUUUAAAUGAUCAGAAAGUCUUUAAAACUGAAACCUGUGCUACAGUUGUGCAUAUAAACCUCUCCAUUAUAUUUUUGCAUAUAAACUUCUACGUCAGUAAGCAGACAGUUUCAAACAGCUGUCACUUUAUUAUCACAUCCAGAGAGCAAAGAGAGAUUUGGCUAGGCACAUUGGGCAUUACUGGAAAAACAAGACCUCUGGAGGGAAAUGAACACAUUAGGCCUAGAGAAAGGAAGCAAAGGGAAAGGGUCAGUCUCACGCUGUCCAAGGCAAGGUGUAGACCCUGUAAGGCAACACGAUGGGAAGAACAAAGAAUCUUUUGGAGGUUUUUGAUGAGUUUAAAUUAAGAUUGGGUUAUUUGUAGUAGUAAACUAUCCCUACAAGCCUCUUUAGGCAUUUCAAGGGAAAUAGAGUUGAAUACAAAUACAGAUUGCAGGGAGAUUAUGCAGAGAAUAUUCCAAAUAAUCCAUGAAUUACAGGGUGAACAGGAACUAGUUAUCUGUCGAUUCUGAACCUUUUUGUUUUCUAUGCCAUACUGCAUCUUGCCAAUGUUGGAAAUACAUUUUUUUCUUUAGUUAGUUUCUAAAAAACUGAACUGCGAAUAAGUGCAUUUUCUCUUUUAUUUGAAUACAUGGCUCUAUAUUAAAUGACUAUUUGGAAAGCCACACCAGGGAGUUAGAAGCCAAGAGUGCUGAUCUUCAGGGAAGUUCAAAAUACUGUCAUUUAGAUAAAUGUACCUUUUGGCAUAUUGCACAGUUUUGAAAUUUGAAUUUUAAUUACAUUUCUUUUUGGAGAGUGAUCUUGAGGACUUGGUCUUUUGGGAUAACUUCUGUUUCUCAAACUAUAUGAAAUCGUUUAUAACAAAUUGAAUUCUGCUCUGUGAUCUUUUAUUGUGUAUUUAUAGACGUUUCUGUUUAUUUAACAUGUUUUUUUUAGCACAUCUCAUGGGCUAGCCAUUGUUCUAGAUGCUAAGGAUAUGGCAGUAACCUAAAAGAGUAAAACUCCCUGUAUUCAUAAGAGUCAGACAAUAAAUCAAAUAUGCAAAUUAUUGUAUAUUUACUAGUAAACUGUCACAAAGAUUAACUCAUUUAUACAGAUAUUAGGAGAGAAAUGCUACGGAGAGAAAUAAGUAAAGUGUAAUACGGGAUGCUGGAUGAGAGUGAGGAAAGGCUUCCAUUAUAAAUAACCUGAGAAGAUAACAUUUGAACAAGACCUGAAGAGGAAGGGAACAAGCCCAAUGGAUAUCUGAGUUGACUUCUAGCACAAGGAGCAGCAAAUGCAGAGGCCCUGAGACAGGAAUGUUCCUUCUUGUCUGAGGAAGAACAAGAACAGAAGGAGAGCUGCCCCUGAAAAAGUGCAGGGAGAACUUGGGCUCCUGGUACUGACUGGCUUUUAUUUAGAAUCAUCGGAUGGUUUUGUGCAGGUGGAGGAUGAUCUUGCAUCUAGGUAGGUUCACAGCCUUUGACUUCUGGGUCUGGCUUGGUGAGAAAGAUAAAAGCAAAAACUAGUUAGGAGGCUAUUUUAAUAAUCCAGGUGAAAGACUGGUAACAGACUGGGCUAUAAUAAUAGCAGUAGAUAGAAAAGGUCAGAAUAUGGACAUAUUUGAUGAUUCUUCCAACUAUCAUGGUUCCAAAUAAUUUAUUUUGCUUCUAGACUCUGUAAAGUAGUUAUAUUUAUAACCUAUAAAACAAAUCUAAAUGCUCUGACAACUCAUGUUACUUUAAAAAAUGGAGUGACUUAUAAGCGUAAACAAUUACUCAACAAUUUAACGUGUUUAGAUUUUCAUAUAAUACAUUAUAUUUUCAAAUGGGACAGACAUUUGAAAAUUAAAUCUCCCGUGGAACAACAGAAGUUUAGAUACCAGAAUCAACUGAUCUAAGAAAGCAAAUGAAAUGAUAGGUAAAAAAUAAAUUUUUUAAUUUUUAAAAAUACAUUCAUGAUGAAAAAUCUGAAAACAAUUCUAAUAUCAUGUUCCAAGUAAAGGGCAAAUCUGAGAUGAUCUAUAAUUUAUAUUCUAAGUUUAUGGGUUUAAGAACAAAAAAUAAUUCAGUCUCCCCAAAAUGGAAA